AUUGAACGCUGGCGGCAUGCCUUACACAUGCAAGUCGAACGGUAACAGGUCUUCGGAUGCUGACGAGUGGCGAACGGGUGAGUAAUACAUCGGAACGUGCCCGAGAGUGGGGGAUAACGAAGCGAAAGCUUUGCUAAUACCGCAUACGAUCUCAGGAUGAAAGCAGGGGACCGGAAGGCCUUGCGCUCACGGAGCGGCCGAUGGCAGAUUAGGUAGUUGGUGGGAUAAAAGCUUACCAAGCCGACGAUCUGUAGCUGGUCUGAGAGGACGACCAGCCACACGGGGACUGAGACACGGCCCAGACUCCUACGGGCGGCAUCAGUUGGGAAUUUUGGACAAUGGGCGCAAGCCUGAUCCAGCCAUGCCGCGUGCAGGACGAAGGCCUUCGGGUUGUAAACUGCUUUUGUACGGAACGAAAAGACUCCUUCUAAUAAAGGGGGUCCAUGACGGUACCGUAAGAAUAAGCACCGGCUAACUACGUGCCAGCCGCCGCCGUAACAC
rnacentral:rRNA from 1 species